rnacentral:tRNA from 1 species
GGUUGUGGCUCAGUGGUAGAGUGCUUGCCUAGCAUGUAUGAGGCACUAGGUUUAAUUCUCAGAACCA